UAGAUACCCUGGUAGUCCACGCCGUAAACGAUGGAUACUGGGUGUGGGCGGAGUCGAAUCUGUCUGUGCCGAAGUUAACGCGUUAAGUAUCCCGCCUGGGGAGUACGGCCGCAAGGCUAAAACUCAAAAGAAUUGACGGGGGCCCGCACAAGCAGCGGAGCAUGUUCUUUAAUUCGAUGCAACGCGAAGAACCUUACCUGGACUUGACAUGGAGCUGCAAGCGCACGGAAACGUGUGACCUUCGAGGGUG
rnacentral:rRNA from 1 species